rnacentral:rRNA from 1 species
AGAGUUUGAUCCUGGCUCAGGAUGAACGCUGGCGGCGUGCUUAACACAUGCAAGUCGAACGAACCUUCGGGUUAGUGGCGGACGGGUGAGUAACGCGUGAGAAUCUGCCCUCAGGAGGGGGAUAACAGUUGGAAACGACUGCUAAUACCCCAUAUGCCGCGAGGUGAAAUGAAUUUCGCCUGAGGAUGAGCUCGCGUCUGAUUAGCUAGUUGGUGUAGGUAAAGGCUCACCAAGGCAUCGAUCAGUAGCUGGUCUGAGAGGAUGAUCAGCCACACUGGGACUGAGACACGGCCCAGACUCCUACGGGAGGCAGCAGUGGGGAAUUUUCCGCAAUGGGCGAAAGCCUGACGGAGCAACGCCGCGUGAGGGAUGAAGGCCUCUGGGCUGUAAACCUCUUUUAUCAAGGAAGAAGAUCUGACGGUACUUGAUGAAUAAGCCACGGCUAAUUCCGUGCCAGCAGCCGCGGUAAUACGGGAGUGGCAAGCGUUAUCCGGAAUUAUUGGGCGUAAAGCGUCCGCAGGCGGCCCAGAAAGUCUGCUGUUAAAACGUGGAGCUUAACUCCAUCAUGGCAGUGGAAACUGUUGGGCUUGAGUGUGGUAGGGGCAGAGGGAAUUCCCGGUGUAGCGGUGAAAUGCGUAGAUAUCGGGAAGAACACCAGUGGCGAAGGCGCUCUGCUGGGCCAUAACUGACGCUCAUGGACGAAAGCCAGGGGAGCGAAAGGGAUUAGAUACCCCUGUAGUCCUGGCCGUAAACGAUGAACACUAGGUGUCGGGGGAAUCGACCCCUUCGGUGUCGUAGCUAACGCGUUAAGUGUUCCGCCUGGGGAGUACGCACGCAAGUGUGAAACUCAAAGGAAUUGACGGGGGCCCGCACAAGCGGUGGAGUAUGUGGUUUAAUUCGAUGCAACGCGAAGAACCUUACCAGGGUUUGACAUCCUGCGAACCUCUUAGAAAUUUGAGGGUGCCUUCGGGAAUGCAGUG